AGAGUUUGAUCCUGGCUCAGAGCGAACGCUGGCGGCAGGCUUAACACAUGCAAGUCGAGCGGGCGUAGCAAUACGUCAGCGGCAGACGGGUGAGUAACGCGUGGGAACGUACCUUUUGGUUCGGAACAACACAGGGAAACUUGUGCUAAUACCGGAUAAGCCCUUACGGGGAAAGAUUUAUCGCCGAAAGAUCGGCCCGCGUCUGAUUAGCUAGUUGGUGAGGUAAUGGCUCACCAAGGCGACGAUCAGUAGCUGGUCUGAGAGGAUGAUCAGCCACAUUGGGACUGAGACACGGCCCAAACUCCUACGGGAGGCAGCAGUGGGGAAUAUUGGACAAUGGGCGCAAGCCUGAUCCAGCCAUGCCGCGUGAGUGAUGAAGGCCCUAGGGUUGUAAAGCUCUUUUGUGCGGGAAGAUAAUGACGGUACCGCAAGAAUAAGCCCCGGCUAACUUCGUGCCAGCAGCCGCGGUAAUACGAAGGGGGCUAGCGUUGCUCGGAAUCACUGGGCGUAAAGGGUGCGUAGGCGGGUCUUUAAGUCAGGGGUGAAAUCCUGGAGCUCAACUCCAGAACUGCCUUUGAUACUGAAGAUCUUGAGUUCGGGAGAGGUGAGUGGAACUGCGAGUGUAGAGGUGAAAUUCGUAGAUAUUCGCAAGAACACCAGUGGCGAAGGCGGCUCACUGGCCCGAUACUGACGCUGAGGCACGAAAGCGUGGGGAGCAAACAGGAUUAGAUACCCCGGUAGUCC
rnacentral:rRNA from 1 species